rnacentral:rRNA from 1 species
AUGCAAGUCGAGCGGGCGUAGCAAUACGUCAGCGGCAGACGGGUGAGUAACGCGUGGGAACGUACCUUUUGGUUCGGAACAACACAGGGAAACUUGUGCUAAUACCGGAUAAGCCCUUACGGGGAAAGAUUUAUCGCCGAAAGAUCGGCCCGCGUCUGAUUAGCUAGUUGGUGAGGUAAUGGCUCACCAAGGCGACGAUCAGUAGCUGGUCUGAGAGGAUGAUCAGCCACAUUGGGACUGAGACACGGCCCAAACUCCUACGGGAGGCAGCAGUGGGGAAUAUUGGACAAUGGGGGCAACCCUGAUCCAGCCAUGCCGCGUGAGUGAUGAAGGCCCUAGGGUUGUAAAGCUCUUUUGUGCGGGAAGAUAAUGACGGUACCGCAAGAAUAAGCCCCGGCUAACUUCGUGCCAGCAGCCGCGGUAAUACGAAGGGGGCUAGCGUUGCUCGGAAUCACUGGGCGUAAAGGGUGCGUAGGCGGGUCUUUAAGUCAGGGGUGAAAUCCUGGAGCUCAACUCCAGAACUGCCUUUGAUACUGAAGAUCUUGAGUUCGGGAGAGGUGAGUGGAACUGCGAGUGUAGAGGUGAAAUUCGUAGAUAUUCGCAAGAACACCAGUGGCGAAGGC